CGGGGCGUGGCGCAGCUUGGCUAGCGCGUACGGUUCGGGUCCGUAAGGUCGCCGGUUCGAAUCCGGCCGCCCCGACCA
rnacentral:tRNA from 1 species